rnacentral:rRNA from 2 species
ACGCUGGCGGCGUGCCUAAUACAUGCAAGUCGUACGCUUCUUUUUCCACCGGAGCUUGCUCCACCGGAAAAAGAAGAGUGGCGAACGGGUGAGUAACACGUGGGUAACCUGCCCAUCAGAAGGGGAUAACACUUGGAAACAGGUGCUAAUACCGUAUAACAAUCGAAACCGCAUGGUUUUGAUUUGAAAGGCGCUUUCGGGUGUCGCUGAUGGAUGGACCCGCGGUGCAUUAGCUAGUUGGUGAGGUAACGGCUCACCAAGGCCACGAUGCAUAGCCGACCUGAGAGGGUGAUCGGCCACAUUGGGACUGAGACACGGCCCAAACUCCUACGGGAGGCAGCAGUAGGGAAUCUUCGGCAAUGGACGAAAGUCUGACCGAGCAACGCCGCGUGAGUGAAGAAGGUUUUCGGAUCGUAAAACUCUGUUGUUAGAGAAGAACAAGGAUGAGAGUAACUGUUCAUCCCUUGACGGUAUCUAACCAGAAAGCCACGGCUAACUACGUGCCAGCAGCCGCGGUAAUACGUAGGUGGCAAGCGUUGUCCGGAUUUAUUGGGCGUAAAGCGAGCGCAGGCGGUUUCUUAAGUCUGAUGUGAAAGCCCCCGGCUCAACCGGGGAGGGUCAUUGGAAACUGGGAGACUUGAGUGCAGAAGAGGAGAGUGGAAUUCCAUGUGUAGCGGUGAAAUGCGUAGAUAUAUGGAGGAACACCAGUGGCGAAGGCGGCUCUCUGGUCUGUAACUGACGCUGAGGCUCGAAAGCGUGGGGAGCAAACAGGAUUAGAUACCCUGGUAGUCCACGCCGUAAACGAUGAGUGCUAAGUGUUGGAGGGUUUCCGCCCUUCAGUGCUGCAGCUAACGCAUUAAGCACUCCGCCUGGGGAGUACGACCGCAAGGUUGAAACUCAAAGGAAUUGACGGGGGCCCGCACAAGCGGUGGAGCAUGUGGUUUAAUUCGAAGCAACGCGAAGAACCUUACCAGGUCUUGACAUCCUUUGACCACUCUAGAGAUAGAGCUUCCCCUUCGGGGGCAAAGUGACAGGUGGUGCAUGGUUGUCGUCAGCUCGUGUCGUGAGAUGUUGGGUUAAGUCCCGCAACGAGCGCAACCCUUAUUGUUAGUUGCCAUCAUUUAGUUGGGCACUCUAGCAAGACUGCCGGUGACAAACCGGAGGAAGGUGGGGAUGACGUCAAAUCAUCAUGCCCCUUAUGACCUGGGCUACACACGUGCUACAAUGGGAAGUACAACGAGUCGCGAAGUCGCGAGGCUAAGCUAAUCUCUUAAAGCUUCUCUCAGUUCGGAUUGUAGGCUGCAACUCGCCUACAUGAAGCCGGAAUCGCUAGUAAUCGCGGAUCAGCACGCCGCGGUGAAUACGUUCCCGGGCCUUGUACACACCGCCCGUCACACCACGAGAGUUUGUAACACCCGAAGUCGGUGAGGUAACCUUUUGGAGCCAGCCGCCUAAGGUGGGAUAGAUGAUUGGGG